rnacentral:lncRNA from 1 species
GUAAAUAAAAAAUAGUUAUAUAAAAAAUAAAAGGAAGACAUUAAGAUAUUACAACAUGACGGGUGGCGGCGCAGUCAUGUCCAGGGAUUAGCGACCCGCUGAGUUUGUUCGGCGCAUUAAGGCCCCCAGCUUACAGCUUGUUUACAUGGGGGCGGUUUGCCAGCGUUUGACGCCGCGGUUAGCCGACGUUUCCAUCAUACAUAUGAGAGCGAUUGACUGGCGGUCUCAUUCCUCCCCUAGUAAACCUACAACCGCCGCGGUUUGACGACGGAUCGGUUCCAUAUGUACGAUGUUGAGCGGUUGCAUUUGUUUCUAUGUUACUUGAACCGCGGCGGUUGGGUUUUUCAGGUAAACCGCGGCGUCAAACGUUGGCAAACCGCCUUAUGUGAACAAGGCCUUAACGUAGCUAAGGUAAAAUCGGCGCAGUCCUCCCCUGUCCAAUAAUGGCGCUUGUGGGAAUUGCAGUGAUGUGGGAGAGAGGUGAUGUGACAUGUGCUGAGGUAAAUGGGAUCCUUAGAGCAUGGACAAUUUUUUUACCCUCUCUAAGAGAGAGAAAAAAUUUUCCAUCCUCUAAGAUGGAUCGGUUCGGCCAUGUUACCUUUCUCAUUGACACUAUUGACAGGUCGUAUUGUUUGGUGAAUUUGUGCAUUUGAAGAAUUUAUUUUAUACAUUAUUUUGAACUUAUUUUUGUUGUAUGUUUCAGUGAUUUUAUAGUGACAAUAAUACGCCGUCGUGUGCGUUCCCAUUGUGUGAUUAUAACGUUCGAAAUAAGAAAAAAUUUUCCACCAAAAUCACUUUACAUGGUUUUCCUAAAGAUGUUAAAAGGAGAGAGGCCUGGAUUCAGUUCGUAAAUAAAGAGAACUGGGAACCCAGGAAAGGUAGCAAA